GACAGAACAAUCUGUGUAUUUUUGCAAUUGCAGUAAGUAGCUGUAGAAAGCAUUGUGAUAACAUCAAUAGAAGCACAGUAUGGUAAUGUAAAAUUAAUGAGCAAGAUGGCAAUCUCCUCUUUCGGCAAAUCGUGUUUUGUAAUACAGCACACCCUCUCAAUUAGUCUGUUCUCAGGGGCCAUAAAAUGUGGGUAUUGUGGUGAAAUGAGGGUUCAGAGAUGUGGGGGAUCACUGAAGGAGAUCAAUUGGAUGGAUACACAAUGAAUAAGGGCAGAAUAUGGGUUAUAAAGGGAUGUAGAUGACCACAUAGAGCAUUGCUGCUUUUGAAUUCAUUCGUUGAUUCCCCUAUAAUGAUCAGCAAUAUGGUUGAAGUCUAACUGACUUGUAUUUAGCAAAAUAAAGUGAAUAACUCAGUAAACAAAAGUCACCAUAGAUGGCAACCCCCUUUUUCUGCUUUCCCUAAGUGGUGGGUGUGCAGCAUCUAGCGAGGCCAACAAUACAUAAGCUAAUCUUGCUUCCCAUAGUAAUUAUUACUUUCAUCACUGAGACUGAGAUUAACAUUUCCCUCCGUGUAGAGAUCCAAAUCUUGUAAUAAAUACAGAACUGGAUUCUUAACCAGAAGGGCUACAGGGCACACUGAGACUCAUUGGUUCAAAACUGUUGAAUUACAGGAAAUCAGAGAGUGGGAGGAACAAACUUUGGAGAGGGUCCAAAUUGUGUGUUGCCUCAAAAUAAUUCCAGAGGAUCAGAUGCCACUGGAGCACUGACGAGGCUUGAAUGUUGGGCCGGCCCAAUCUCAAGCUGAAAUAUAACUGCUGUCAUAAAAGGUGAUUAGGCCAGGAAGGCUCUGUCCUCACGAACGGUUUAACGCCGCCAUCAUGGGUGUGGUUCAUGAUGAAGGUGAAUUCUCAUCCUCGUGCCUUGUCUUGUCCUCAUCCUUUUGCCAUCGGGUGGCACAGAAUUGCCAGAUGCUGGUACUUGGUUUUACAAUUUCCAGCCUCCAGAACUGCAAGAAAACACAUUUCUUUUCUUUACAAAUUCCCCAGUCUCAGGCAUUCUGUUACAGUAGUACAAAACGGACAGAGACAAGCACACAGAGAAGUGUGCUGCAUAUUCCAUUCAGAUUUGGGAAGAUUUCAAAGGAAAUACUACUUUGUAUGGCUCGUUCAAAUUCCUACUUGGUAUUUGUAUUUAAAUUAUGGUUUCUUUUAUAGGCUUGUGGGCUGAUAAACAUGUUGAAAAUCUUUAGUGAAUGUAGUCAACAAGCUUUAAAAUGUUUAUUGUUCUUAAAAUUUUGAUAUGGCUGUUUAGGAAAUGGAAAAAAUGUGUGAAUCUGUAAAUACAGUAAGCAAUUAAUUUGCAAUCUUAACUGUCCAUAGAAAAACCACUCUUGCUAUUUUGGUAUAGAACUCUCCUGGCCACGUCACUGGACAUUUUUCUCCUUGACAGUGAAAGGUUUCCCUCCUUAUGUGCAUACUCUAUCCUCGGUUACAAGUUCCACUGCAAAACAAUGUCUUUGGUAAGGCCAAGAGGAAGGAUAUACAGGUGCCCAAUGUGUUGGAGUUAUGCUACCAGAUGGUCCACUAGGUAACAGGUCUUUAUUUAUUUUUUCUUUUCAUUCUUGUACUGUUUCACCCUCUGCCUUUAUUGGGAUUGGGAAUAUCCACAGGGAUGGACCAGCCUGGGGAAGGUAAAGGCUGCUAAGUGACUGAGGAGGUCCUGGGAGAAGUGAUGGGAGGCACUGGGAGUACCACACACCCUCUGCCCCUGGGGAUCAUUUCCAGGAUGUAGAGGGGUAACCGGAAGUCCUCAGCUCUGCGGAACCGUCCUCUGGACUCUGCCAUGGCAGCAGACGGAGCCUGGCUGAAGGGUGAAUGAAUUAUCACAUGAUCAGGAGUCCAGAGAGGAAUGUGGCCCACACAAGGUGUGUUGGAGAAAGCAGUGGAAGAUGUUUUGGAAGACUGUGACUACAAGGUUGAAGAUUUAGGACUCUAUUUCAUGGAAAAGGGAAGCCAUUCACUGAGCACCUCUGAGUAAGAAAUGAACACAAGUUUAUGAAGAUGAAUCUGGGAUCACUAUACACAUGGGUAAGAAUUUGGGAGAGAAUUUCAAGGCAGUUGCAGGGUCCUAAGAAUGACACAAAGGGUCCAUGGAGGUCACCAGGGUAUGGACUAAAAACAGGGUCCCGUGGACAAUGACAAGGUGUUGCUUUUCUUGUGGGAAGACAGGAAAGUGGGCCUGGUUUGACCUGUGAGAAGCUUUGGGGUAGGGAGGUCAGUGGGGACUGAGAGGAUUGGCGGGAAGGUGAUGAACUCAGAGCUGGGUCACAAACUCUGCAGGAGGCAAAGGCUGCUGAGCCUCAGCAGCCCAUCCUGGAGCCAGUGGUGCCUUGGGGACUGGGAAGUGGCUGUGGGCCUCCUCCCCGAGCCCUUGUUUUUCUUCCCCAUCCUUUCUUUUUCCUUUCAUUGCUUAUAUUAUUCAAGUUUUCUCCUCUGAGAGUUUUUCCUGGCUGAUAAAAUAAAUUGCUACAGAGAUUCUGGCUCCGAAGUCAUUCUGAUUGAGCUCAAAGGCAUUGGUCACACGGCUUAACUUUGCUGCUGUACCAGCCUGGAGGAGAGGGGCUGGUAAGGAGGAGAAUCAAGUGGGGCUUGGUGGCUAAUUAGAUGGGAAAAUAAAAGCAAGAGAGAGACAACAGUGACAUCACUAUUUUAAGUCGAAUGACUGGGAAACUUCCCCAAAGACAGGGUUUUGGGAAAGAUGUAAUACUUACAGAAUCUUGUUGAUGGGAGCUAAAAUAAAGCUCUUUUAGUCUAACCUCACUUCUGGUGCUCAGAUCCCCUCUCGUUGCUCUUGCCAGAAUAAUUUUUGGCCCAGGUUAGAUAUCUCCAUUAACAAGAGACAUUUUAUCUCUUCAAGUACUGUAUUUCCCUUUGGCGUUUUGCUUGAGAUGUCCUGAACUCUUGGUGAAAAGAGGCUAUUCAGUGCAUUGGAAAUGCGGGAUUCAAGUCAGCAGAGAUGGGAGAGAAAAACAUUCAGGCCAAGGUGAAGACUUGACAUUGUGACAAGUAGCUAUGAGAAAUAGUCUCUGUGGAGACAAAGAAAGGCUGAGGAGAGAACCAUGGUCAGCCUUCAGAGGACAGGAGAGAGAGAGAGAGGAAAAGGAACCACAAAAAAGAAGCCACUAGGGGAAGAAAAGAUUAAUUACAGUUCAGGGUCACGGAAGUUGAAGAAGUCAUAGGGAGUCAAGUAAUGGCCAUGUUGCAGAGAAUAAGCAGAAAGAGUAGGAAUUCUCUUUUGGCUCCUUCUGGAUUGGCUCUUCAGAGUUUGACUUAAUUAUCUUGUUAGAAGUCAAUUCUUAGACUAUGGGACAAACCUGUGUACACUCCAGGCUGAGAUCAUAUUCCAAAACCAAAUGUACAUUAUUUGAACCUGGGUUGGUACCAGGUUCAGUACACAAUCUAGCUAGCUUACUUCUUGUCAAAGAUAAGCAUUUGGAUGUUUAAGUCAGGGGACUCUGAGAUAAAAGCAUGUUGUGUCCAACAAAGACAGUGUUGAGGUCGUGUGUAUACUGUGUGUGCUUUCAUGGGAGUGACUUGACUCCUCACUAAUCUUCACCCUGAAGUCCUGGAUGCCGACUUAAGGUGGGUCGAGUGGUGAGAGCACUUUUGGAAGAGAAGGUCCAGGUCUACUCUCUGUGGUCACUGAAAGGCCAUUGAUGAUUUCAUUUUAGCCUCUACCGGACAUUUCUCUGUAUCACAGAAUCACUGGCCAUGAAACUUGGUAGAAGUGGCAGUUUUGUCUGCUGCAGGGCCCGCACUGACAGGAUACAGGAUAUUGCAGACCAGACACGCUAUGUUUUAUGGCUGCUUUCUAAGAAAGCUCUGUGGUACCUGAGGUUAUUUCCUACAGCCUGGUACCCGAUCUAUAAAUCUGAUCAUUGUGGCUAGCUCAUUUACUUUGCUUUGUAGAGAUAAAAAUGCUGUUGACACAAGGGCCCAAAGUGACUAGGAGGUAAAGCUCCUCUUAGAGGAAAAAAAAAAGCUCAUCACAUUGAUUUCAAUGCACAGGUCUGAAAUUCACCCCUUAUUUACACUUUUUGGUCAAGUUGAGAAUUGCGACCAGGACAUGUUGAUCAGUUAGCUCAUCAGAAGGUGGACCCUGCUCAGGAGAGGCAGGUGAGGCGGGGCAUCCUGAUGGGAAGAAAGUGCCAUUGAGAGGGGCAUACCCUGAGUCCAAGGUGGAGGACGUGGUGGAACUUGAGGAUAGUGAGGGCACAGGGUUCCUGGAGGGAGGCUGAAGGAAGAUCUGAAGAUCAGAGUAAGCAAGCAGAGGGGUCUGGAGUCACAGCAGUGCUGUUUCAGUGAGUGCACAGUUACCCUUGGCAGCCUUGGGGCUCUCAUUUGGGAUCCCUGUGGACCCCCAAACCUAUGGAUGCUCAAGUCCUUUACAUAAAAUGGCAGAGUAUCUGACUACGGCACCCUCCUGUAUGCUUUGAAAAUUCUCUGGAUUGUUGAUUAUAAUACCUCAUGCCACCUAAAUGCUAUAAAUAAUUGUUGUACUGUAUUAUUUGGGGAACAGUGACCCAAAAAGGCUCUAUGUGUUCAGUACAGACGCACAUAAUUUUGUUCUCCAGUUGGUUGACUCUCAGGAUGCAGAACUCACAGAUACAGAGGAUUGAGUGUACUUAUGACUCACUAGUUUUCCUUUGUCUCUGUAUUGGGGGGCUGGUCCCUCUGGGAAGGAAUAGGCUUUCCUGAUCCCAUAGAGGACAAACAUGCGGGUAAGCCCAGAGAGAGGCCUGAUUGAAAUACUCACACACUGCAUACUCAGGAAUGUUGCUAAUGUUCCUCGAGUUUCUUUCAUCUGUUAAGUUGACUUGUUUAAAUCAGAAUGUUGCUCCAAAGGUCAGGUAUUAAAUACAACCAUCUGUAUAAUGCCUGAUACCAAUCAAUGUUCUUUUUCUUUCUUUGCCACUGCAAAGCGCUUGCUCUACUAACAGGAGACUGUGGAGGCUGAGGGUGAGCAGCUGAAGAUGCACUUGGCCUCUCCGUCUGUGUGUUCUUGGGAAGUUCCAGCCCUUCUGAGAGGAGGAGGCUCCUCUGCCAGGGGCAGCAUGGCUCACGGUAUCAUGCAGGGUCUCGUGCUUAGUAGAGCCCUGGGUUUGGUUUCAUGUUCCAAGGUUGCCACCAGGGUGUUCUUAAUAACCUCGGAAAUGGGGACCUUGUUUUCAUUUUGCUUAGGACCCACAAAUCCUGCAUCUGGUCCUGGACACAGGACAUUUACCCUGUUGCAAGUGUAAGCACUCUGUCCCCACCUUCCUAAGGGGGGAGCCCAAAGGAGGUGCCAGGCAGCCAGCUGCCUGUGCUGGAGAGAACACAGGAGGAGAAUGGAAAAAAGCUCUCAGAAAAUCCUUCGGCAUGAAAGAAUCAAAAAAAAUGGAAUAAAAUAAAUUUUCCUUUUACUAAGGUCUCCUUGGCCCAUGAAAGUAUUGUGGGAAGUCGGGAUGGAUAUUUAAGUGUAUUUCUACUCUACUUCUUUACAUUACAUGUUUGAAGCCUUAAAAUAUACAUAUUCACAUAUCCUUCAACACAAACCAAAUAAUACAGCUGCCAAAGGAUUGAAGUAUUUUGGGAAACAUUUGUUCCUCUUACAUUUUGUUGAUGUCUAAACACAGUCCUUUGAAGUGAACAUUCCCUGAUCUAAGUUAAUUUAUUCAUAUCUUUACAUUGACUAUCUGGGUGGUUUUUAUGACAAAUUGUGCUGAAGCUUUGUUUCAGACCCCUAAAACCAAUGACCAAGAUGUGUGACUUUAAUAAACGUGGUGAUUUAUUUUGUCUAACCUGAGCUCAGCCUCCUAGAAACUGCUGCUGACACGGAUUUGCAAAGAGGAGAAAUCACAGUGCUUAUGAAAUCAGCUGCACCUGACACUGGUGCUCGAUGUGGGAGUCCACAUGGAAGCCAAUAUGAAGUGGGAUUUGUUCAAGAAGAGAAAGAGUCAAGAAGAGAAAGAGCUAAACCAAUUCAGCACAGGGACAUGGGUCAUAGUUGCAUUUAAAGCAAUCAGAAGAUGCUAUAUAAGGAGAUGUUUCAUCACUGAAUCUCUUUGCCUUCAGUCUAGGGAAGUUUUGAAAGACUGAAUUGCAAGACAAAGGCAUCAAGAUAACAGUGCACACAGGGACCUCCUUGGGGAGCAGCCUCCCUGCAUCUUGGUGACCCUUUCCUACCGAAGACCCAGAGGGGCUGAGACUUGGAGAAGAAAGACCUGGAGUCUGCAUUGUUUAACCACCCCUGGGCCAAGGCUGAGCACCUACACAAUGGAACUCACUGUUGAAAAACAAAGAAAACAGGAACAGAUGAAAGGUUUCGUUUUGAUUUUCCUCUAGAUUUCUGACCAGUCUGAGGAGUUGAAAUGCCAAAUUACCAUGUGAAAGUCCACUUUCCCCAUAGAUACUGAGCCUUCAUCUCAAACAAAACAACAAAAAACAAGCACCACAAACCUUAUCACCACAGUAAGAAACAAUCCUGAGCAUGGUGUCCUACACCAAAGAAGUGUGCGUGAGCAUCUAAAAUUUUAAUUAAAUGAAUUAGUGGACAUGAAAGGGUGUUGCCAAGUAUAAAGUGCCAUUUAAUUGCCUCGUGUUAUUAUUAUUAAUUAAAAUCAAUUAAACUUCAUGUGAAGCUUGUGUCCUUUUAUGAGAAAUAUGCAAAUUUGUUCUUAGAUAUAGUACUUAAUUGGAAGAUAAAAGUAAUUUUUAUCAUGGAUGGAAAACAAGUUAGAACCAACUGAGAACCAGGAUGACUGCAAAAUUCAGAAAAACAAAGUGAUGCUGUUGAAAGUUCGCUGAAAAUUGAAAAAACAAAAACUUCAUUCCUAAUUUAAUAAGUGGGGGGGGUAAGAAAUUUCACACUGGAACAUUGACAAGCCAACAGGAGGCUAUCAGCUGGUUUGGAAAAUGGAGAGAAAAGUUAGUUCUAGGUUGCUAGGCAACAGAUUUCUAAGCUGAAUUCUCUAUAUUUCUUAAAGGACUGGUUCAAUGUUUUGGUUCUACAAAUACUAGCUAUUUAUUUACUUAUUCACUGUGAAUUAGAAUGGUUGCUCUCAGCAUAAGUCUGGCGAAGCCAGGAAGAGCACAAAUGCAGGCAAUUAGAAUAUGAUUAGGAAGACAAAAGUUGCCUACAUUCUAAGGCAUUAGUGUGAAAGGGGCGAAGGGCUGGCUACCUAAUGCCACUCUGACUAACAUAGAUUCUGCAGUAUAUGGCCAAGAUGAUUCUCAAUUACAGCUUCAAAUCUCCAGGAAUUAGAGAAGACUGAUAACAUGUGUCAAGGCCCCGGCCCUCGGGAGGUCAGCCCUUGUAGGUCGAGGCUUCAUUCACACACAGGACCAUCCCUGCCAGUUCUCAGGCGUUGUUACCAACCCCAGGAAGAAGGGGGCUCCAGGGGUCCGAUAAUACUCAGCCUCAUGGUUUUGCAAACUAAUCUGAGGACGGAGAUGGAAUCUGCGGCCUCUGAGAUGAAAGCCCCUCUGGAUCUCUCUCUUAGCAGAGACACUUCGUCAAGUUUCCCUAGGAGGAGUCAGAUGCAGAGCUCGAGGGUGGGAAGGAAAACACUUUUGGCACUGGAGAAGAGGGGAGGACUUGAUUAAUGUUCAGCUAGGGAGUGGACCGGUUCUCAGAGAAAGGAAUCUUUGAUCAAUGGGAUGAAGAAGCAUCUUUCAAACCCCUUGUUUUCCAGCCACUUUAAAAAGGAACAAAAAGAAGCUGAUUCCAAAAAAAAAAGCUGAUUCAGAGCACAGCUGUUGUUAUUUAAAAACAAAAGCCAAAGAGGAAGAAGCAAAAGACAAGAAAAACUAUGCAAAACAUCAUUUCAGUUGGAUAACCUGGAAGAGCAACAAGUGAGCAAAGUCUCCUCAGAACUCAGCUCCAAACUGCAGGGGUGGUGUUGGGGCCACUCUGUGGGAAUAAACCGAGUCUGAGAGAGACAAAGCAAGAUUUCUUCACGGGCCAUCCUUUUCCCUGCAGAGCUGAGCAUAUAUCUGGGUGAGGACAUUUUCUGGAGAAAGCGGACCUAUCAAAGAGUAGGACAGGAAGCAGCUUCCACGUUGCCCACCAUGUUUAGGACAUUCCCAAAUGGGUUAUCUGAUUUAAACGGCAAGCUUUCCCCUGGGAAUGCAUUAUGAAAUUGCUAAAAGACAUGUAGAUCAUGUGCCCCUACAUUAGAACAACUAAUGGGCAGAUGCAUUAGGAAGAGUGAGUAAUCAUUUUUGUCUCCGGUGUUCCACAUGCAACUUUAUCCAACCGGAAGCUUUUGAACUCAGAUGUCAGUUUUUCAAGUCAGCUCUUUCUAGAAGCAUGUUUGGCCUCUGAAUUGUUUUCUCUCUGUUUAAUAGGCAGGUGUUAAUUUAAAGUGUUCAGAUGUUUCACGUGUCUCUUCCAAUCCUCUUCUAUGAAGUAUUGCAGUGUGUUGUUUUAAUGAUUUGUAGUUUCUCUUAAAAGAGCUGGAGAUGUGAAGCCCAGGAACUUCAACUCCUUGCACUCUGUGGGCCUGUGGGUAUAGUCUAGGAUGAGCUGCAGAAAUGUUUGCAACUGCUGCAGCAUUCUUACUCUUUUCACCUUUGCUUCCUGCAUAUCUGGUUGAAUUGCUGCUGCUCAAAACUUUUAAGAAGCUUCACAUUUAGAAAGCCUAUCCUAGUGUGCCAUUCUGGUGAAGGCAGUGUCUGCCUUGUUACACACCUGUCUGGUGAAAGGAAUCAGUCUUAAGCGGCACGGUUGUCCCAUUGCAGGGCUGCCUGUGACCAGGACUCGGCCAUCGCUAAUUCUCUAUCGCUGCGUGUCCUCAGCAUUUGAUCUGUAGGGUUUCAUAGUCGAUGUCCAAAUACUUGGAAGGAAGUGCUUGCAGUAAUGAUUCCAGUCACAGCGGCUACCAGUCAAAGCCAGCUGGAGAGUAUGAAGAAAGAGGAGCGGGGCGAGCGGUCUACUUGAUUAGAGCUUCCGUGACCCUCGGCUCAGAAACUGCCUCCUCCCCGGGAGUCCAAGGGAGCCCCUGGGGUCCACUGAAGAGCUGUGACACAGCAUAUACAGCCCGAGCCCAGAGCUCCCCUGCAGCACAGUGUGCGGCUCCUCAUCUCAGCUCUUUGACUUCAUCGGGGAGUCCUGGUCCCUGCUGCCCAGUGUCCAAAGGACCUGCCGGCCGCCUUCAGAUGGGUUUCUACUGUAUUUUCUGGGGUGUCACUGUCAGCGCACUGCUGAGAACAUCAGUCACCGCGGCCCUCUGUCCUCCAUCUCCAGCGCAGCCCUCUGCCUGCGUGGAGGACGCGGCUUCAGAACCAAAUGUAUCGAUCCGAGCCCGCUAGAGCCUGGGCUUAAUGUGUGCCCCGAAAUGAACCAGCCAUUCCGCGUGGCGCUAAAUCAUUUUUUUCCGCAAGUCAGGAGAAAAUGGCUCCAAGGAGCAUUUGAGAUUGAAGAUCACAAUAGCUAAAAAGCUGCAGGAGGGGAAAAAAUUAAGUUUUUCAGAAUUGAUUACAAUAUUUCUAAAGAGAUUCUUUAUCUUUUCACAAAAUCAAACUUUCCAUUUGGACUUGUCAGUGUUCGCUUUUUAGUGAAACCUGUUUUUAUGGUUCUUUUUGAUUAAUGGAAAGGAGUCGUAUUUUUCUUCACUGUAAUAAAAAUCAAGCUGUCUUGUGGUGCCCUUCGCAAUAGAAAUCAAGGGAUGAUUUGAACAGAAUAUUAAUAGCGCUCUUUUAAACUUCUGGGCUUUAUCCUGUUUUAAUAAACUAAAUUUUAAGCUAAUCUCUUUAGAACACAAUCUACAUUUUGUGAAAAUAUGAGCAUUUAUCACCGAGCUCGAUGGCAAUCUUUCCUACAUUUCUUCCUAUUUACAGAUAGAUGGGAAAAGAAAGGCUGUGACUACAUUCCUUUAUGUAGUCCAUGCGCUGAAUGGGGCUGACGGAAUGUGUGGUUAGAUUGGACAUCUCAAUCAUUUAUUGCAGCUAUUGUUAUAGUUUAGAAUUCAUAGGGCAUAAUUUUUAAUUCAAGGAUACAGAAUGGAUCUCUCGCUUUUAAAAAACGAUUUCUCAGUUUCUAGUGAUGUCUUUUUAGAAUCAGGCUAUGAUCUAAUAACACGAUAUAGUAUAUUUCACUAUGCAUUGAUUUAAUUUAAUUCCAUCCUACAGGAAAUCUUGGAACUUUUGCCAAUUAAGAUGUUUUCCAGCUGCUCUGAGACCCUCUCAGAAUCUUUAGUGGACAACAGAAGUAUUUUAAUGUCUGUGGCUUAGCAUCUCUCUUAUGUAGGAGUUCUUAGCUUUUUAUGCCACCAUAUUUGAAACAAAUCAUUCCACGAAAAUAUUAUUUUUCAACUUCUUUUCGUAAUUUUCCCCCUUACACACACAGGAGCCUUUUUGGAUACUUUUGCCCUAACUGUUCCCUUUUCCUAAGUACAGAAAUGUG
rnacentral:lncRNA from 1 species